rnacentral:misc_RNA from 1 species
GAUGAAGAACGCAGCGAAAUGCGAUAAGUAGUGUGAAUUGCAGAAUUCAGUGAAUCAUCGAAUCUUUGAACGCACAUUGCGCCCCUUGGUAUUCCAUGGGGCAUGCCUGUUCGAGCGUCAUUUGUGCCUUCAAGCUUUGCUUGGUGUUGGGUGUUUGUCUCGCCUUUGCGUGUAGACUCGCCUUAAAAUAAUUGGCAGCCGGCGUAUUGAUUUCGGAGCGCAGUACAUCUCGCGCUUUGCACUCAUAACGACAGCGUCCAAAAGUACAUUUUACACUCUUGACCUCGGAUCAGGUAGGGAUACCCGCUGAACUUAAGCAUAUCAAUAAGCGGAGGA